CCUACGGGUGGCAGCAGUGAGGAAUAUUGGUCAAUGGCCGGAAGGCUGAACCAGCAAUGCCGCGUGAAGGUCAGUGCCCUAUGGGCGUUAAACUUCUUUUGUGCGGGAGCAAUAAUGGUCACGUGUGGCCAGACGAGAGUACCGUACGAAUAAGCAUCGGCUAACUCCGUGCCAGCAGCGGCGGUAAUACGGGGGAUGCAAGCGCUAUCCGGAUUUCUUGGGUUUAAAGGGUGCGUAGGCUGUGAGGUAAGUCAGCGGUGAAAUGCCCCCGCUCAACGGGGUGAAGUGCCCUUGAUACUGUCUGGCUUGAAUGCGGAUGCGGUGGGAGGAAUGUGUGGUGUAGCGGUGAAAUGCAUAGAUAUUAGACAGAACACCGAUUGCGAAGGCAGCUGACGAAUCCGCGAUUGACGCUGAUGCACGAAAGCGUGGGGAUCAAACAGGAUUAGAUACCCUUGUAGUC
rnacentral:rRNA from 1 species